rnacentral:lncRNA from 1 species
UAAUAUAUAAUGAGUAAAGUAACAAAAGAAGAAAGAGAGUUUACUUGAGGGAGUUUACAAAAUUACAACAUUACAAAUGCCCAAGAUACAUGAAAAAUAUUCAGCAUCUCUAAAUAUAAAAGAAAUGCAAAUUAAAGCCAAAUGGCUAAACUUAUUUUGUAUGAAAAUAAUUUUAAAAGUUAAGGGUCAGUGUUGCCAAGAGCACAGAAAAAUGAGCUCUCCUUCUGUACUGUUAAUGAAAAUCUGGAUUGUUGCAACAUUUCUUUUUCUUUUGCAGUUUGUCAGUACUUAAGAUUAUGUCCCUGGAGAGCUGCAAUGAUACGUAUGCAUAUUACAUUAUUUGAAAUCUCAAAAUUGUGUCUCUGCAGAGGAAUGGUCAAAUAAAUUGUGAUACAUCUCUACUAUAAAUAUUAUGUAAACUUUUUUCUUUGUAAAAUAAGUUCAGUGUGUGCAUAUUGCCUUAGGGAAAUUGCCAUGAUCAAAUAAGUGUAAGAGCAAGUUGCAGACACAUAUGCAGAGCCAUUUCCAUUGCUGUGAAGGAAAAAAGUUACCUGCACUUACAUAUAAUUAUCUACAUGUUUAAUGUAUAUGUAUAUGUUAAUAAUGUAUAUGUAAUGUAUAUGUAUAUGCUUUGUUUUUUUCCUAUUUAAUAUAUAUGCUAAAACUAUGUCUUGUGUUUUAACUCUUUAAGGAAAUAUUUUAGGUAGGCAUAAUUUAUGGAAAAGAAGAAAGUUUAGUGGGCAAUAGAGAAGUAAAGACAUAGAAAGUUAGUGGCAUAUAUAUUGAAUAGUUAGGCUGGACACAGUGGCUCACACUUGUAGUCCCAGCAAUUUGGGAGGUGGAGGAAAGAGUGUCGCUUGAACCAAGAAGUUCAAGACUAGCCUGGGCAACAUGGUGAGACCCCAUCUCUACAAAAAAUUUAAAAAUUAGCCAGGCAUGGUGUUGUGCAUCUGUUAAUAGCAGGUAAUUGGGAGACUGAGGGGGGAAGAUUACUUGAGACCAGAAGAUUGAGGCUGUAGUGAGCCAUGACUGCACCAAUGCACUCCAGCCUGUGUGACAGAGUGAGAACUUAUCUCAAAAGAAAAAGAAGAAGAAGAAGAAGAAGAAGAAGAAGAAAAAUAAAGGGCCUCCUACCCUACAUCACUCAAAUUGGAAAAAGGUGACUUGAAGAACAAUUGCUCUGAACCUGAAGGUUUUCAAAGCAUUGACACAGAAUGAAGGACUUGGAAGAAAGAAAAAAUUGGACCCUGAAAACCUGUCCUGCUUUUGUUCAAUCAGUGAGAAAGAUACCAGCCUUUCAUGUUCUCAGCAGUAUCUUUUCAACAAAUAGAGACUGCUAGACUUCAGAUUUUUUUAAAGUUGUUGGUUUUUUUACCUCUAUGAAAGAUUGUAAGGAGAGUAAAGUAUAAGUAAGAGAAAAAUCUUGAAGAUAAUAAGGAUAUUGCAGUCAGUAAUGCCAUCAAGGCUCUGAUGCCAAGGCUCUUUAAGAGCAGGUUCAGUUUCAGUAAAACAGUAAGCAAAAGUACUGUGAUUUGAACUUCCUGAGUAAGCAUACAAUACAAUUUGAAGAUGUAGUUGAACAAUUUUUAGCAAAAUGAAUUUUACAUUGAUAUUAGUAUAUACAUAUAAUAUUGAAUAGAAAUACCACAUUUUUGCUGUAAAUUAUUUUGCUUACAAAAAGCUGUAAUGACACUCCCUAGUGAGAUGAACCCGGUACCCAUGCUAGAUGACGAGUUAGUGGGUGCAGCGCACCAGCAUGGCACAUGUAUACAUAUGUAACUAACCUGCACAUUGUGCACAUGUACCCUAAAACUUAAAGUAUAAUAAAUAAAUAAAUAAAUAAAUAAAUAAAUAAAUAAAUAAAUAAAAGCUGUAAUGGACAGUUUGUUAAGUGUCUAUAAAUUGAUACAC